UAGGGAAUCUUCGGCAAUGGGGGCAACCCUGACCGAGCAACGCCGCGUGAGUGAAGAAGGUUUUCGGAUCGUAAAGCUCUGUUGUAAGUCAAGAACGGGUGUGAGAGUGGAAAGUUCACACUGUGACGGUAGCUUACCAGAAAGGGACGGCUAACUACGUGCCAGCAGCCGCGGUAAUACGUAGGUCCCGAGCGUUGUCCGGAUUUAUUGGGCGUAAAGCGAGCGCAGGCGGUUUGAUAAGUCUGAAGUUAAAGGCUGUGGCUCAACCAUAGUUCGCUUUGGAAACUGUCAAACUUGAGUGCAG
rnacentral:rRNA from 1 species